AUGGGUCUUAAUGAGCCUUUGUAGUGGAUGUUGGCAACAGUUGGUCUACUAUAGGAGUAGGGUGCACAUCAAGAUGGAAUCUAUCAACCUUGAUAGAGAGGAGUAGUCUUAUGAAAUUUGAAAGGCUAAGUCUAAAAAUCUAUGGCCAUAGUAGUGUAAUUGAUGGAAAAGAGUUUCCAAAAGAAUUACAUUUGGACAUGAGCUAAUCGAAUCUUUCAUAUGACUG
rnacentral:lncRNA from 1 species